GGGCAAAGGCAUGGCUCAGCAAUUAGGAAUGCUUACUGCUCUUGCAGAGGAUGGGGGAUUAUUUCCCAACACUCCAUCAGACAGCUCACAACCACCCGGAGCUCCAGUUCUGAGGAAUCUGCUCACACUGCAAGCCCAGAUAUGCCUGCCUAGGGAUGGUGCUGCCCACAGUGGACUGUAUCCUCCUACAAUUAACAGAGAAUUCCACCGACUUGCCCACAGGCCACUCUGAUGAGGACAACUUCUCUAUUGAGCCUGGAAGCCAGAGAUGAUAGACUACAAGGCUGAGUUUAGAGAAGAUUCUUGUAGAAGACUUUUCUUUAUAUUAUAAAAGGUCUGAGCUUCCUUCAAAAUGAAAAUUACUAGCCGGAGCUGGGGAUAUGACUCUGCGUUCCAACCCCAGCAUCACAAAACAAAAGCAAAAAGCAAUGGAACAAAACCCAAACAUCAACUUACACAACCGUCACUCAAAUCUCUUUGUCCUCCCAGGGUGAAACUCAAUAUAGGCAAUUCCUGUGGAGGUAAAUGCUUUAAGAGCCUCGACGCCCCCACCCUCAAAAUGUGUAGUUUCUCCUUUUUGCUUAUUAAAGGCAUGCCACUCACUCACUAAUUCUUUGGCUUGCAGAACGUUCAAAGCUAACUUGCUAGCAAACUAUUGUUAAGUGCACAAUGCUCUCAAGAAUUGUCCCUGUGUUCUCUGUACCCGCUGAUCCUUUUUUGUCCCAUAGUUUCCAGACCAGGCGCUUUUCUGCUUACACAUCAUCUGUCAGGAACUGCCCAAUCUCUGCACAGGUCUCUAUCAUACCACAGUAAAACUUCACGUGCUAGGACAUCAAUAUCCCAGAGGCUAUGCCUCCGUAAUUUUGCAAGCAAAACCCCAAAGUGAGGUUUGUGAAAGCAGGUUUUUUUAAAAGCCAAGACUCUGUGAUCUAGAAUUACCGAUGGUGAGUUUUGCUUGGCCCAAGACUAAAACUCAGAGUAAUUCGAAGAACCUGCACCCACCUUCCCAACUACCACUCACUCCACAGUAAACAGUGCUUCUUGUUAAAAGGCUGAGAAGGAUGAGAUGUGGACAUCAGCCAAUUCAAGGCUUUGUUUCCUGCCCAACAUCAGCCUAACAGUCCAACAUCACCUUCAUCUGCCACAGCUACAUGCCACAGCUGUGUCAUGCAAUAAGAUGGCGGCUGGGAGCACACGGCUGCUGGGUGUGGAUAUUUGCAUGCAUGUGGGUAGUGUGACCAAGAAACUUAACUGCUAAUUUAUGGUAGGCAGUUACAGGGUCUGGCACAUAGUUCAAGAGUAGACUGUCUGCCUAGCUUCCC
rnacentral:lncRNA from 1 species